rnacentral:rRNA from 1 species
GUGGGGAAUAUUGGACAAUGGGCGCAAGCCUGAUCCAGCCAUGCCGCGUGAGUGAUGAAGGCCCUAGGGUUGUAAAGCUCUUUCACCGGAGAAGAUAAUGACGGUAUCCGGAGAAGAAGCCCCGGCUAACUUCGUGCCAGCAGCCGCGGUAAUACGAAGGGGGCUAGCGUUGUUCGGAAUUACUGGGCGUAAAGCUCACGUAGGCGGACAUUUAAGUCAGGGGUGAAAUCCCGGGGCUCAACCCCGGAACUGCCUUUGAUACUGGGUGUCUGGAGUAUGGAAGAGGUAAGUGGAAUUCCGAGUGUAGAGGUGAAAUUCGUAGAUAUUCGGAGGAACACCAGUGGCGAAGGCGGCUUACUGGUCCAUUACUGACGCUGAGGUGCGAAAGCGUGGGGAGCAAACAGGAUUAGAAACCCUAGUAGUCC